rnacentral:piRNA from 1 species
UCUGAGAUACAAUGAUCGGUUGAAGUG